rnacentral:rRNA from 1 species
GACGGAGGAUGCAAGCGUUAUCCGGAAUGAUUGGGCGUAAAGCGUCUGCAGGUGGCAGUUCAAGUCUGCUGUCAAAGACCGGGGCUUAACUUCGGAAAGGCAGUGGAAACUGAACAGCUAGAGUAUGGUAGGGGCAGAGGGAAUUCCUGGUGUAGCGGUGAAAUGCGUAGAGAUUGGGAAGAACACCCGUGGCGAAAGCGCUCUGCUGGACUGCAACUGACAUUGAGGGACGAAAGCUAGGGGAGCGAAUGGG